rnacentral:rRNA from 1 species
GCAGCCCGCCGCGUGGAGGAUGAACUUUUCGGAGCGUAAACUCCUUUUAUAUAGGAAGAUAAUGACGGUACUAUAUGAAUAAGCACCGGCUAACUCCGUGCCAGCAGCCGCGGUAAUACGAUG